AUAUAGAAAUGUGCAGAUCACCACCAUCUUUAAUUCUUCAAUAUUUUUUCUUGCAUUAUAUUUGCUAUAUAAAAUUCCAAAUUACUCUGCGGCGCAUGGACAAUUCUUAUGUUUUACAACGUCCUAACGUCAUCAGUGCGUCGAUUACUAACGGACGACUAAAUUGUACUGUAUUUCUUACAUAUAUUAGGAACCCAAUCGGAUCUUCAAGGAGAUCGUGUUCGUUGCGCAAUAUCGAAAAUAUAUCUGAUAUCUUUUAGGAUAUUGUAAAAAUCAACUUCUGAAUGAAUUGACAUGCUAAAAGAUCAGCAAUGAUCUUUCAAAGGCUGAAUUAAGAAGGUAUAGCUAAUAAAACGCUGGAUGUUUUAGCCAAGCGAACGUGGGUGGAUUGGAAUUUUAACGGCAUGUUUUUUAUGUCGACUUAUGACUUGGCUUGCAAUCAAGAGCGUAAAAAGCAUUCAGAGAUUAGGGGGCACCAGCUUCAAGGGGCACUUUUGGUUCAUAAAAAGGAAAACUGAAAAUAUGUAUAGGGACCGUCGAUUGCCAAACCUGCAAGGACAUCACUACUGUGGUUUAUAUUUAUUUUCUACAAAACGAUUUGGGCACGUGUAGGUGGGCGUACACAGGAGACAAAAAGGGCACCUCCGAUUUUAAAAUAGAAUUUUUUUGGGGAAAGUGCCCCUUCUCCGGUUCCUACGCCACUGCAGUUGCAGUAUGGCAUGAAACGAUUUUUAAAAAAUGUUUCGUACAAGACCACCUUUAAUAAAUAUAUAAAAAUGCUUGAAUUGAUAGAGCUGAAAUAAAAUGACAAACAUGCAGCCUUAUUUAUUAUAAGGAUCUGGGAUAUAUCAAAAUUACAAAACCUCCUCCAAUACAAGGAAGUCAAGUAUGUUAUGGCACAACGCAAAGACAUAUAUAAACCUACAUUUCACAGACAUGGUAUACUUUAACACACAGUAGUCUUUAAAUGUUAAUGUGAAAACAAAUUUUUUUAUUUUGGAUCAGACCGAGCGGGAGAAACUAUAUACUGCAUACAGACAAAAUGCAGAUCUAAAGUGAGAUUGGUGGCAGCGUUUCACUCUUAUUACACUGUGCGUGAUCUAUGAUGUAGAUGUAGAUAUAUAGAAAUGUGCAGAUCACCACCAUCUUUAAUACUUUAAUAUUUUUACGUCAUGUUUUUAUGUCGACUUGCAACUUGGCUUGCAAUUAGGGGCAUAAGACGCAUCCAGAGAUUAGGGGCACCAGCUUCAAGGGGCACUUUUGGUUAAUAAAAAAGACAACUGAAAAUAUUUAUAGGGACAGUUUGAUGGCCAAACCUGCAAGGACAUCAUUACUGUGGUUUAUAUUUAUGCUCUAUACAAAAAGAUUUGGGCACGUGUAGGUGGCCGUACACAGGAAACAAAAAGGGCACUUCCGAUUUUAAAAUAGAAUUUUGGGGGGGCAAGUGCCCCCUGUGCCCACCCUCCGUAUUCCCACGCCACUUGAUACAAGACCACCUUAAUGAGUAUAUAAAAAUGCUUGAAUCGAUAGAGCUGAAAUAAAGUGACAAACAUGCAUAUCUGGAACAUAAAGAUCUGGAAUUUAUCAAAAUUAAAAAGGAAGUCACGUAUGUUAUGGCACAACGCAAUGACAUGUAUACACCUACAUUUCGCAGGCAUGGUACACACGGUAGUCUUUAAAUGUUGAUGCGCAAAACAUUUUUUUUAUUUCGGAUCAGACAGAGCGGGAGGAACUAUAUACAUACAGACCAAACGCAGAUCUAAUACUGAACAAUGAGAUUGGUAGCAGCGUUCACUCUUAUUACACUUCUUCAUGUUGUAAGUAUAAUAAUAAAAUUAAAUUUGUCAAUAAUUUUGAUUUGUCGAAAGCCGUGUGUGAUCUAUGAUGUAUAUGUAUAAAUAAAUGUAGAGAUCACCACCAUCUUUAAUUCUUCAAUAAACUUUGUUCUAUUAUAAUUGCUAUAUAAAAUUCUAAAUUACUCUGCGGCGCAUGAAAAAUUCUCGCGUUUUACCAUGUUGUAACGUCAUCAGUGCGUCGAUUACUAUUGGACGACUAAAUUGUAAUAUAUUUGUUACAUAUAUUAGGAACCAAAUCGGAUCUUCAAGGAGAUCGUGUUCGUUACGCUAUAUCGAAAAUAUAUCUGAUAUUUUUUAGGAUAUUGUAGCAAAUCAACUUCUAAAUGAAUUGACACGCAAAAAGACCAGCAAUGAUCUUGCAAAGGCUCAAGAAGAUGUGCACAAGCAAUGUGUCAAAGUGUUCAAAUCAUGCAAAGAAAUAUUGGACAGUCACAGCAACAACAACGGUAAUGGUAUUUACACAAUCAGUGAUGGUAAAAACGGAGAAAUGAAAGUGUACUGUCAAAUGUCGUCUGUUUCCGGUUGUUCUGGUGGUGGUUGGACGAUGGUGAUGAAAAUUGACGGAAGCCAGAGUACAUUCCGAUACAAUUCUGGCCAUUGGACGAGCACAAGCACUUAUAACGACAACCAUUAUGGAAGAAAUGGUGGUC